rnacentral:rRNA from 1 species
GAUGAACGCUGGCGGCGUGCCUAAUACAUGCAAGUCGAGCGAAUGGAUUAAGAGCUUGCUCUUAUGAAGUUAGCGGCGGACGGGUGAGUAACACGUGGGUAACCGGCCCAUAAGACUGGGAUAACUCCGGGAAACCGGGGCCAAUACCGGAUAACAUUUUGAACCGCAUGGUUCGAAAUUGAAAGGCGGCUUCGGCUGACACUUAUGGAUGGACCCGCGUCGCAUUAGCUAGGUGGUGAGGUAACGGCUCACCAAGGCAACGAUGCGUAGCCGACCUGAGAGGGUGAUCGGCCACACUGGGACUGAGACACGGCCCAGACUCCUACGGGAGGCAGCAGUAGGGAAUCUUCCGCAAUGGACGAAAGUCUGACGGAGCAACGCCGCGUGAGUGAUGAAGGCUUUCGGGUCGUAAAACUCUGUUGUUAGGGAAGAACAAGUGCUAGUUGAAUAAGCUGGCACCUUGACGGUACCUAACCAGAAAGCCACGGCUAACUACGUGCCAGCCGCCGCCGUAA